rnacentral:rRNA from 1 species
UACGUAGGGGGCAAGCGUUGUCCGGAUUUACUGGGCGUAAAGAGCGCGUAGGCGGAGAUCUAAGCGUGGCCUGAAAGCCCCCGGCUCGACCGGGGAGUGUGGCUGCGAACUGGGUUUCUUGAGGACGAUAGAGGAGAGUGGAAUUCCUGGUGUAGCGGUGAAAUGCGUAGAUAUCAGGAGGAACACCCGAGGCGAAGGCGGCUCUCUGGGUCGUACCUGACGCUGAGGAGCGAAAGCGUGGGGAGCGAACAGG